AAGAAGAGAUGUAACCUUGUACCUUUUGCAUCAUGUUUUAGCUAGUGAACUUCAGGCAAAAUGUAUUCUAGUCUGAUAACCCGAAACCGAGUGAGCUACUCCAAGACAGCCUAUUAAUUAGGGCACACCCGUCUCUGUUGCAAUAGAGUGGGAAGAGCUUUGAGUAGAGGUGAUAGACCUAUACGAACUUGGUUAUAGCUGGUUGCCUAAGAAUUGGAUUUAAGUUCAGCCUCCUGGCCUCCUCUAUUCACCCAGUAACAUAAAAAUUAUUUACUAAUUAUCUGAAGGAACCAGGAAAGUUAGUCAAAGGGGGUACAGCCCGUUUGAAGCAAGAUACAACUUUAUCAGAAGGGUAAGGAUCAUAGUUAAAUAAGGUCCUUGUCGAAGUGGGCUUAAAAGCAGCCAUCAUCAAAGAAAGCGUUAAAGCUCUGACAUUAAUUUUCAUUUCCUUUUAUACCGAUUAAUAUCUCCCACCCCUCUAAUUCUACUAGGCCUUCCUAUGUUUACAUAGGAGUGACCAUGCUAAUAUGAGUAAUAAGAGGAAUAUAGACCCUCUCCCAGCAUGCGUGUAAAUCGGAACGGACCCCCCACCGAAAAUUAACGAAUCCAAUAGCAGAGGAACAUCGGAAACCAUUAAUAUAUCAAGUAGUAUACCGAUUAAUAUUACCGUUACCCCAACACAGGUGUGCACCCCAGGAAAGACUAAAAGAAAUGGAAGGAACUCGGCAAAUAAUUAUUGAAGCCUCGCCUGUUUACCAAAAACAUCGCCUCUUGUCACUUAAAUAUAAGAGGUCCUGCCUGCCCAGUGACUAUGUUCAACGGCUGCGGUAUUUUGACCGUGCAAAGGUAGCGAAAUCACUUGUCUCUUAAAUGGAGACCUGUAUGAAUGGCUUGACGAGGGCUUAACUGUCUCCCUUUUCCGGUCAAUGAAAUUUAUCUCCCCGUGCAGAAGCGGGGAUAGCUACAUAAGACGAGAAGACCCUGUGAAGCUUUAGACAAAACAAUAGACUAUGUUAAAUUUACACCUCACCGAAUAGAACCCAGUAACCCCUAUUGAAAUGUCUUUGGUUGGGGUGACCAUGGGGAAAUAAAUAACCCCCACGUGGAGUGGGAGAAUAAUUCUCCUGCCACUAAGAACCAUUGUUCUAAGUAACAUUACUUAUGACCAAUAAGAUCCGGAGCCUCCGAUUAACGAACCGAGUUACUCUAGGGAUAACAGCGCAAUCCUCUCCUAGAGACCUUAUCGACGAGUGGGUUUACGACCUCGAUGUUGGAUCAGGACAUCCUAUUGGUGUAGCCGCUAUUAAGGGUUC
rnacentral:rRNA from 1 species